CGGGGCGGCAUGCAUACACAUGCAAGUCGAACGCCAUCCUCGGGGAGUGUCGGACAGGUGAGUAUCGCGUGGGACAUACCCUUUCCGGCUGAAUAGCUCCUGGAGGCUGGAAUUACUACCGCAUACUCCCUACGGGGGAAAGAUUUAUAUGGCAAGGAUUGGCCCGCGUUGGAUUAUCUAGUUGGUGGGGUAAAGGCGUACCCCGGCGACAAUCCACAGCUGGUCUGAGAGGAUGAUCACCCACAUUGGGACUGAGACACAGCCCACACUCCCACAGGAGGCGCCACUGGGGAAUAUUGUACAAUGGGCGCGAGCCUGAUCCACCCAUGCGGCGUGAGUGAUGAAAGCCUUAUGGUUGUAUAGCUCUUUCUCCGGAGAAAAUAUUGACAGUAUCCGGAGAANAAAGCCCCNGGCUAACUUCCUGCCAGCAGCCNGCGGUAAUANCAAAGGGGGCUAGCGUUGUUCGGNAAUUACUGGGCGUAUAGCGCACGUANUGCGGAUAUAUAAGUCUGGGGUGAGAUCCCAGAGCUCAACUNCUGGAACUGCCUUUGAUACUGGGUAUCUUGAGUAUGGAAGAGGUAAGUGUAAUUCCCAGUGUAGAGGUGAAAUUCUUAUAUAUUCGGAGGAACACCAGUGGCGAAAGCGGCUUACUGGUCAAUUACUGACACUCAGGUGCGAAAGCGUGGGGAGCAAACAGGAUUAGAUACCCUGGUAGUCCACGCCGUAAACGAUGAAAGUUAGCCGUCGGGCGGUAUACUGUUCUGUGGCGCAGCUAACGCCAUAAACAUUCCGCCUGGGGAGUACGGUCGCAAGAUUAAAACUCAAAGGAAAUGAAGGGGGCCCGCACCAGCGGUGGAGCAUGUGGGUUAAUUUGGAGCAACGCGCAGAACCUUACCAGCUCUUGACCUUCCGGGUUUGGGCANGGGGAGACAUUGUCCUUCAGUUUGGCUGGCCCCAGAACCGGUGCUGCCUGGNCCGUUGUCAGCUCGGGUCGUGAGAUGGUGGGGUAAGUCCCGCAACGAGCGCAACCCUCGCCCUUAGUUGCCAGCCAUUAGUUGGGCACUUUAAGGGGACCGCCGGUGAUAAGCCGAGAGGAAGGUGGGGAUGACGUCAAGUCCUCAUGGCCCUUACGCGCUGGGCUACACACGUGCUACAAUGGUGAUGACAGUGGGCAGCGAGCCAGCGAGGUGGAGCUAAUCUCCAAAAGCCAUCUCAGUUCGGAUUGCACUCUGCAACUCGAGAGCAUGAAGUCGGAAUCGCUAGUAAUCGCGGAUCAGCAUGCCGCGGUGAAUACGUUCCCGGGCCUUGUACACACCGCCCGUCACACCAUGGGAGUUGGUUCACCUCGAAGGUAGUGCGCUAACCGCUAAGGAGGCAGCUAACCUACGAAUGUCACGACCCC
rnacentral:rRNA from 1 species